rnacentral:rRNA from 1 species
ACGUAGGGUGCAAGCGUUGUCCGGAAUUAUUGGGCGUAAAGAGCUCGUAGGCGGUCUGUCGCGUCUGGUGUGAAAAUCCAGGGCUUAACCCUGGACCUGCAUCGGGUACGGGCAGACUAGAGUGCGGUAGGGGAGAUCGGAAUUCCUGGUGUAGCGGUGAAAUGCGCAGAUAUCAGGAGGAACACCGGUGGCGAAGGCGGCGCUCUGGACCACAACUGACGCUGAGGCGCGAAAGCUAGGGGAGCAAACGGGA